rnacentral:rRNA from 1 species
AUUGAACGCUGGCGGCAGGCCUAACACAUGCAAGUCGAGCGAGAGGCGGAGGGGGGAGAAAUGUAUGGGGAACUGCGCGUUAGAGGGGGAUAACAACUGGAGAAGGUAUCGAAUACCGCGUACUACCGGAUGUACCCCUAUGGGAUUAGCUAGUAGGUGAGGUAAUGGCUCACCUAGGCGACGAUCCCUAGCUGGUCUGAGAGGAUGAUCAGCCACACUGGGACUGAGACACGGUCCAGACGCCUACGGGAGGCAGCAGUGGGGAAUAUUGCACAAUGGGCGCAAGCCUGAUGCAGCCAUGCCGCGUGUAUGAAGAAGGCCUUCGGGUUGUAAAGUACUUUCAGUCGGGAGGCGUUACCGACAGAAGAAGCACCGGCUAACUCCGUGCCAGCAGCCGCGGUAAUAC